CACAUGACUCUCGGCAACGGAUAUCUCGGCUCUCGCAUCGAUGAAGAACGUAGCAAAAUGCGAUACCUGGUGUGAAUUGCAGAAUCCCGUGAACCAUCGAGUUUUUGAACGCAAGUUGCGCCCGAGGCCUUUUGACUGAGGGCACGUCUGCUUGGGCGUCACUC
rnacentral:rRNA from 3 species